rnacentral:rRNA from 1 species
AGUGAACGCUGGCGGCGUGCCUAAUACAUGCAAGUCGAACGGAGUGGCGCACGGGUGAGUAAUAUAUAGCUAAUCUGCCCCUUGCUGGAGGACAACAGUUAGAAAUGACUGCUAAUACUCCAUAGCAAGGGAUGAGUCUAUAUCGUAUCAGCUAGUCGGUGGGGUAACGGCCUACCGAGGCUAUGACGCGUAACUGGUCUGAGAGGAUGAUCAGUCAAAUUGGAAAUGGGGCACGGUCCAAACCCCCACGGGAGGGAGCAGUAGGGAAUAUUGCGCAAUGGGGGAAACCCUGAAGCAGGAACGCCGCGGGAGUGAUUGCGGCCUUCAGGUUGUAAAGCUCUUUUAAUCGGGACGCGGUACCGGAAUAGAAAGCCACGGCUAACUACGUGCCAGCAGCCGCGGUAAUUC